rnacentral:tRNA from 1 species
CAAAGUGUAGCUUAAAACAAAGCAUCCGGCCUACACCCGGAAGAUUUCAAAUAUCAUGACCACUUUGA